CCUACGGGCGGCAGCAGUGAGGAAUAUUGGUCAAUGUGCGCGAGCCUGAACCAGCCAAGUCGCGUGAGGGAAGACGGUCCUAUGGAUUGUAAACCUCUUUUGUCGGGGAGCAAAAGACGCCACGCGUGGCCUUCCGAGCGUACCCGAAGAAAAAGCAUCGGCUAACUCCGUGCCAGCAGCCGCGGUAAUACGGAGGAUGCGAGCGUUAUCCGGAUUUAUUGGGUUUAAGGGGUGCGCAGGCGGAAUAUCAAGUCAGCGGUAAAAUUGAGGGGCUCAACCUCUUCGAGCCGUUGAAACUGGUGGUCUGGAGUGAGGGAGAAGUAUGCGGAAUGCGUGGUGUAGCGGUGAAAUGCAUAGAUAUCACGCAGAACUCCGAUUGCGAAGGCAGCAUACCGGCGCUCAACUGACGCUCAGGCACGAAAGUGUGGGUAUCGAACAGGAUUAGAUACCCCGGUAGUC
rnacentral:rRNA from 1 species